rnacentral:rRNA from 1 species
CAGCAGCCGCGGUAAAACGAAGGGGGCUAGCGUUACUCGGAAUUACUGGGCGUAAAGGGCGCGUAGGCGGCACGAUUAGUCAGGCGUGAAAUUCCUGGGCUCAACCUGGGGACUGCGCUUGAUACGGUCGAGCUAGAGGAUGGAAGAGGGUCGUGGAAUUCCCAGUGUAGAGGUGAAAUUCGUAGAUAUUGGGAAGAACACCGGUGGCGAAGGCGGCGACCUGGUCCAUUACUGACGCUGAGGCGCGACAGCGUGGGGAGCAAACAGGAUUAGAUACCCGAGUAGUCCCUGUCUCUUAUAC